rnacentral:rRNA from 1 species
GAUCCUGGCUCAGGAUGAACGCUAGCUACAGGCUUAACACAUGCAAGUCGAGGGGCAGCAUGGUCUUAGCUUGCUAAGGCUGAUGGCGACCGGCGCACGGGUGAGUGACACGUAUCCAACCUGCCGUCUACUCUUGGCCAGCCUUCUGAAAGGAAGAUUAAUCCAGGAUGGCAUCAUGAGUUCACAUGUCCGCAUGAUUAAAGGGUAUUUUCCGGUAGACGAUGGGG